CGGGGUGUAGCUCAGGUUGGUAGAGCGCUUGGUUUGGGACCAAGAGGUCGCUGGUUCGAGUCCAGUCACCCCGACCA
rnacentral:tRNA from 3 species